rnacentral:rRNA from 1 species
AGUGAACGCUGGCGGUAGGCCUAACACAUGCAAGUCGAACGGCAGCACAGUAAGAGCUUGCUCUUACGGGUGGCGAGUGGCGGACGGGUGAGGAAUACAUCGGAAUCUACUUUUUCGUGGGGGAUAACGUAGGGAAACUUACGCUAAUACCGCAUACGACCUACGGGUGAAAGCAGGGGAUCUUCGGACCUUGCGCGAUUGAAUGAGCCGAUGUCGGAUUAGCUAGUUGGCGGGGUAAAGGCCCACCAAGGCGACGAUCCGUAGCUGGUCUGACAGGAUGAUCAGCCACACUGGAACUGAGACACGGUCCAGACUCCUACGGGAGGCAGCAGUGGGGAAUAUUAGACAAUGGGCGCAAGCCUGAUCCAGCCAUACCGCGUGGGUGAAGAAGGCCUUCGGGUUGUAAAGCCCUUUUGUUGGGAAAGAAAAGCAGCAGGUUAAUACCCCGCUGUUCUGACGGUACCCAAAGAAUAAGCACCGGCUAACUUCGUG